AGUGGCGAACGGGUGAGUAAUACAUCGGAACGUGCCCUGUAGUGGGGGAUAACUAGUCGAAAGAUUAGCUAAUACCGCAUACGACCUGAGGGUGAAAGUGGGGGACCGCAAGGCCUCAUGCUAUAGGAGCGGCCGAUGUCUGAUUAGCUAGUUGGUGAGGUAAAGGCUCACCAAGGCGACGAUCAGUAGCUGGUCUGAGAGGACGAUCAGCCACACUGGGACUGAGACACGGCCCAGACUCCUACGGGAGGCAGCAGUGGGGAAUUUUGGACAAUGGGCGAAAGCCUGAUCCAGCAAUGCCGCGUGUGUGAAGAAGGCCUUCGGGUUGUAAAGCACUUUUGUCCGGAAAGAAAUGGCUCUGGUUAAUACCUGGGGUCGAUGACGGUACCGGAAGAAUAAGGACCGGCUAACUACGUGCCAGCAGCCGCGGUAAUACGUAGGGUCCAAGCGUUAAUCGGAAUUACUGGGCGUAAAGCGUGCGCAGGCGGUUGUGCAAGACCGAUGUGAAAUCCCCGAGCUUAACCUGGGAAUUGCAUUGGUGACUGCACGGCUAGAGUGUGUCAGAGGGGGGUAGAAUUCCACGUGUAGCAGUGAAAUGCGUAGAGAUGUGGAGGAAUACCGAUGGCGAAGGCAGCCCCCUGGGAUAACACUGACGCUCAUGCACGAAAGCGUGNGGAGCAAACAGGAUUAGAUACCCUGGUAGUCCACGCCCUAAACGAUGUCAACUAGUUGUUGGGGAUUCAUUUCCUUAGUAACGUANCUAACGCGUGAAGUUGANCGCCUGGGGAGUACGGUCGCNAGAUUAAAACUCAAANGAAUUGACGGGGACCCGCACAAGCGGNGGAUGAUGUGGAUUAAUUCGAUGC
rnacentral:rRNA from 1 species